rnacentral:rRNA from 1 species
AUUGAACGCUGGCGGCAUGCCUUACACAUGCAAGUCGAACGGCAGCACGGGUGCUUGCACCUGGUGGCGAGUGGCGAACGGGUGAGUAAUACAUCGGAACAUGUCCUGUAGUGGGGGAUAGCCCGGCGAAAGCCGGAUUAAUACCGCAUACGAUCUACGGAUGAAAGCGGGGGACCUUCGGGCCUCGCGCUAUAGGGUUGGCCGAUGGCUGAUUAGCUAGUUGGUGGGGUAAAGGCCUACCAAGGCGACGAUCAGUAGCUGGUCUGAGAGGACGACCAGCCACACUGGAACGGAGACACGGCCAAGACUCCUACGGGAGGCAGCAGUGGGGAAUUUUGGACAAGGGGCGAAAGCCUGAUCCAGCAAUGCCGCGUGUGUGAAGAAGGCCUUCGGGUUGUAAAGCACUUUUGUCCGGAAAGAAAUCCUUGGCUCUAAUACAGUCGGGGGAUGACGGUACCGGAAGAAUAAGCACCGGCUAACUACGUG